GAGAAGCUUCGACCAAGGUUCGACUUGAGCGCCAGCGAGAGAGCGUUGCCGCAGGCAACGACCCGAAGGGCGAAGCGCGCAGCGCUGAGUAAUCCUUCCCCCACCACCA
rnacentral:sRNA from 2 species